CGGGGUAUAGCGCAGUCUGGUAGCGCACUUGCAUGGGGUGCAAGGGGUCGCAGGUUCAAAUCCUGUUACCCCGA
rnacentral:tRNA from 1 species